CGUGGUGACUCGCGCCAAUUAGUCCAGCAGUGACACGGUGUAAAUCUCGUGUGUCUGUGUGUCACGGUGGAGAUACCUUUCACACUCAGCAACAGUGAGCGUUUGGUUAUGGUGCUGGUGUGGUGAUGACAUUUAAGACAUGAUAUUAUUCAUUGCGUGACGUGAUGAGAGUGAUUGGAUCUUAAGUACUCCAGACAGUGGUGUUGUCAAACUGGUGUGUUGUGUUGUGUGCUAUAGCGGUGAAGACAGUGCGAUGCCAAGCCCCGCGUGGCGCCACUGCAACACUACAGGUACACAAACAAAGCAACAAAACACAACUAAGGAAGAAUAUUUGUAAGUGUAGGAAAGUUUGGCAGUAGUGAAGGUUGAGGUUCCCCUGCCCAGGCUGUCAUGAAGCGGAAAAAAGAUGGAUAUCGGUGUUAAUGGGAGGAGAAAAGGCAAGUCCAGGGGGAGGAGGAGGAGUGACUGGGAAAGCUGCGAUGAAGAGGAAGUGGAAGAAGAAAAAGAAGAAGAAGACGAAGACGAAGAAGAAAAAGAAG